UACGUAGGAGACGAGCGUUGUCCGGAGUUACUGGGCGUAAAGGGCGCGUAGGCGGUUCCAUAAGUCCCGCGUGAAAUCCCCCGGCUCAACCGGGGAACUGCGCGGGAAACUGCGGGGCUUGAGUUCGGGAGAGGGAAGCGGAAUUCCGGGUGUAGCGGUGAAAUGCGUAGAUAUCAGGAAGAACACCGGUGGCGAAGGCGGUUUGCUGGGCCAUCACUGACGCUGAGACACGAAAGCGUGGGGAGCAAACGGG
rnacentral:rRNA from 1 species